CAGUCGCCGCGGUAAUACGUAGGUGGCAAGCGUUGUCCGGAAUUAUUGGGCGUAAAGGGCGCGUAGGCGGACUGAUAAGUCAGGGGUGAAAUCCCAAGGCUCAACCUUGGAACUGCCUUUGAUACUGUUUGUCUUGAGUUCGAGAGAGGUAAGUGGAACUGCGAGUGUAGAGGUGAAAUUCGUAGAUAUUCGCAAGAACACCAGUGGCGAAGGCGGCUUACUGGCUCGAAACUGACGCUGGGGCGCGAAAGCGUGGGGAGCAAACAGGAUUAGAUACCCGAGUAGUCCCUGUCUCUUAUAU
rnacentral:rRNA from 1 species